AGGGUUGCCUCCUGGUACCUUCCCGUGUAGGAAAAUGAUUUUGUCCCGCGCAGACUCCCUCAGCACCUUCUGCAGUCUGAAGCCGGAGAACGGUAAGCGGACAGGAGCACAGGUACCAUUUCCAACUCCUGCCUCCUUUUCCUCUGUGCUGGCGGCGUGGGCCUCCUCCACGUCCAAUUCGCGCUUCCUCUUGCCUAGUUGAGGAGCUGCGUCCGCCAUGCUGCCGCGGAGGCGGUGUGCGCCUGCGCCCCCUGCGCUGGCCCCGCCCCUAGCCCGAGUCCAGCGGCCUGGCUGGGCUGCUAACUCCCGGCCUACCCUGCUCUGGCACCCGCUCCUGCGGGAUGCGUGCCGCGCAUGGCGGAGCCCGCUGACCUGUCCCAGGGCGCGCCUUUCAACCGAGUUACUGCCUUUGGCCCCGUUGUGGUGCCGGCCGGCCCUCAGGGAAGGGAAAAGAAGGCUGAGAGUCCCGAAAGCGGCGGGCUAGAGGUGGCUGCGCAGUGAAGAGGGACCCCCAGGCCCACGCCCCGGGGUGGGAGCCGAAGACGCCCUUGGGCCACGGUAGUGUUGGAGCCCUUGUUUGAAUACUGACAUUUUAAUCAUAGUUACACCGACGUUGACCAAUUAUCGGGGAAGCAACGUUUCUGACGCAAAUCCGUGAGCCCAUUUGAUUCCUUGGUCGAUUUUUUAUACCGAGUAUUUAAGCCAUUUCCAUUUUUCUCCCAUUUUAAUUACUUUGCAGAAAUUUUCAUCGUGGUCAGUUUUUUACUUUGUAGACUCAGUACUUUUCUGCUGACAAAAAAGGUAAACGAAUAUGGCCAGAAGAACCAUCUCCACCACCCACUUAUUUCCGGGCUAGAGGCAUCCCCCUCCUCUCUAUUUUGUUUACCUGUAUUUCUGCCCUGCUACCCAGGGAUAUGAUUUGCAGUAUGAUUCGUCUCCCAGGGUUUCGUUUCUCUUUUUUUUUUUUUUUUUUUUUUUUUUUGCCAUAUAAAAUUAUUACUUGUAA
rnacentral:lncRNA from 1 species